AAUCUUCCGCAAUGGACGAAAGUCUGACGUAGCGACGCCGCGUGAGUGAUGAAGGUCUUCGGUUUGUAAAACUCUGUUGUUAGGGAAGAACAAGUGCUGGUCUAAUAUACCGGUACCUUGCCGGUACCUAACCAGACAGCCCCGCCUAACGACGUGCCAGCAGCCGCGGUAAUACUAAGGGGGCAAGCGUUGUCCGGAAUUAUUGGGCGUAAAGGGCUCGCAGGCGGUUUACUAAGUCUGAUGUGAAAUCUCGUAGCUUAACUACGAACGGUCAUUGGAAACUGGGAGACUUGAGUACAGAAGAGGAGAGUGGAAUUCCACGUGUAGCGGUGAAAUGCGUAGAGAUGUGGAGGAACACCAGUGGCGAAGGCGACUCUCUGGUCUGUAACUGACGCUGAGGAGCGAAAGCGUGGGUAGCGAAC
rnacentral:rRNA from 1 species